CUUCUUAAGAGCAACCCAGUUUUCUAAUACCUCCAUGGGUGGAAUGCAUUUAGACGAGAAUGGGGAGCUGCCAGGCAACUAUGACCUUGUGAACUGGGUGGUGUUUCCCAACGAGUCUCGUGCCAGAGUGAAAGUUGGGAGUAUAGAGAGAGAGACAUCCAUUGACACAAAGUUCACUAUCAACUCGGAUGCUAUUUUGUGGCCCCAGAGGUUUAACCAGGUGGGGAAAACUUUUUCUGUAUGGUUCUGUUGAUAUACAUUAAUUUGUGGAAUAAUUCACCCAGGACUUGGACUGCAGUCCUUUGCCCAGUGCAGGGGUGGGAGCUGGCAUACAAGGGUGUCCCCCUCAUACCGUGAGCCCCAUAUCCAUGAAGUGGACAUGGAAUAUCCACAUUCCAUUUUGAAAUCUGGAAAUUUGGGUUUGACAGUGACACCAUGUUUAGAGACAGAAAAGAGGAACAAUGAAUGAUGAAACAAGCAAGGAAACAGACCAAAUAGGUUUUUGGGGAACGUGCCAGAAGUCCUGGCAGGGCUAGUGGUCCAUGAGAUGCUGCUGGGUCCAUUCCAGACUCUAUCAACCAAAUCCAUAGAGAGAAAUUGUCCCCUUGAUGCACCUUCCUCUCUUUGUGCUUAGACUGUGCCUUGCUCCAGGUGCACCGAAAGCUGUCACCCUGGAUAUUUCAAGGUGAUCCAAGAAGGGGAGCCGGUUUGCUGCUAUGUUUGUUCUCCGUGUGCGGAAGGGACCAUCUCCACUCAGGAAGGUGGGUGACUCCAAGGGAGAGGCCAUUUCUUGGGGGAAUAGAAAGAGCACCCCCCAAAAAAAAAAAAGUAUUAGAAGCUACGUGGUUAUGGAUGCAAGGAAUACUAAAGCCACUCUUUUUCUCAUUUUCAGAUGCAACGCACUGCACCAAAUGUUCAGAAGAUCAGCAUCCAAACAAGGACCAAGUUCAAUGUAUUCCCAAGAUUAUCAACUUCCUAGACUACAAAGAGAAUUGGGG